AUUGAACGCUGGCGGCAUGCUUUACACAUGCAAGUCGGACGGCAGCACAGAGAAGCUUGCUUCUUGGGUGGCGAGUGGCGAACGGGUGAGUAACAUAUCGGAACGUACCGAGCAGUGGGGGAUAACUAAUCGAAAGAUUAGCUAAUACCGCAUAUCUUCUGAGGAAGAAAGCAGGGGACCAUUUGGCCUUGCGCUGUUUGAGCGGCCGAUAUCUGAUUAGCUAGUUGGUGGGGUAAAGGCCUACCAAGGCGACGAUCAGUAGCGGGUCUGAGAGGAUGAUCCGCCACACUGGGACUGAGAUACGGCCCAGACUCCUACGGGAGGCAGCAGUGGGGAAUUUUGGACAAUGGGCGAAAGCCUGAUCCAGCCAUGCCGCGUGUCUGAAGAAGGCCUUCGGGUUGUAAAGGACUUUUGUCAGGGAAGAAAAGGGCGGGGUUAAUACCCCUGUCUGAUGACGGUACCUGAAGAAUAAGCACCGGCUAACUACGUGCCAGCAGCCGCGGUAAUACGUAGGGUGCGAGCGUUAAUCGGAAUUACUGGGCGUAAAGCGGGCGCAGACGGUUACUUAAGCAGGAUGUGAAAUCCCCGGGCUCAACCUGGGAACUGCGUUCUGAACUGGGUGACUAGAGUGUGUCAGAGGGAGGUAGAAUUCCACGUGUAGCAGUGAAAUGCGUAGAGAUGUGGAGGAAUACCGAUGGCGAAGGCAGCCUCCUGGGAUAACACUGACGUUCAUGCCCGAAAGCGUGGGUAGCAAACAGG
rnacentral:rRNA from 1 species